rnacentral:ncRNA from 2 species
CGAAUACCGGGAAUAUUAGGUGCUUCGGACCUCGUCCGAAGCUUAAAAGGGAAGACGGUGCAAAUCCGUCGCGGUCCCGCCACUGUGAAGGGUGCUUGAUUCAAGCUAUCGCUCGGCAGCACGCCACUGAAGACAUGUCUUCGGGAAGGCGCCGAGCGGGAUGCCCUAAGCCAGGAUACCUGCCUGAUCCGAUAACACGGC